rnacentral:piRNA from 1 species
UCUGUCUCUUAUGAUGAUAAC